GACGAACGCUGGCGGCGUGCUUAACACAUGCAAGUCGAGCGGUAAGGCCCUUCGGGGUACACGAGCGGCGAACGGGUGAGUAACACGUGGGUGACCUGCCCCCUACUCUGGGAUAAGCCUGGGAAACUGGGUCUAAUACCGGAUAUGACUACAUGUCGCAUGGUGUGUGGUGGAAAGUUUUUUCGGUGGGGGAUGGGCCCGCGGCCUAUCAGCUUGUUGGUGGGGUGAUGGCCUACCAAGGCGACGACGGGUAGCCGGCCUGAGAGGGCGACCGGCCACACUGGGACUGAGACACGGCCCAGACGCCUACGGGAGGCAGCAGUGGGGAAUAUUGCGCAAUGGGCGGAGGCCUGACGCAGCGAGGCCGCGUGGGGGAUGACGGCCUUCGGGUUGUAAACCUCUUUCGGCCCCGACGAAGCGUGAGUGACGGUAGGGGUAGAAGAAGCACCGGCCAACUACGUGCCAGCAGCCGCCGUAAGAC
rnacentral:rRNA from 1 species